rnacentral:lncRNA from 1 species
CCUACCAGAAGGAAGAAACUCCAAACACAUCUGAACAUCAGAAGGAACAAACUCCGGACACGCCGCCUUUAAGAACUCUAACACUCACCGCUAGGAUCCGCGGCUUCAUUCUUGAAGUCAGAGUUCUUCCGUAUGCCAAGCCCUCUGUCACCUGGGGUGACAGAGUGAAUGAAGUGAAGCUAAUCUUUAUGAGCAGAGGUGGAAACUAAGCAAGAUGAAGAGAUUGAAAAGUUAAGGAACAUGCACCAGGCAAGCAGCAAAGACUGCCCUUUUCCAUGAUUUUAUCCACUUCUUCCACUCCGCCUGAAACCUGUCUGCCUGAGCCCUGCCGAGACCCAGGCCCAGUUUUCUGUCUCGGAUUACUUCAGAGUUUGGCUUGGGCCUUUUCUUCAGGAAUCAUGCUGUGACUCG